rnacentral:rRNA from 1 species
CAGCAACCACGGUAAAACAGAGGGUGCGAGCGUUAAUCGGAUUUACUGGGCGUAAAGCGUGCGUAGGCGGCUUCUUAAGUCGGAUGUGAAAUCCCUGAGCUUAACUUAGGAAUUGCAUUCGAUACUGGGAAGCUAGAGUAUGGGAGAGGAUGGUAGAAUUCCAGGUGUAGCGGUGAAAUGCGUAGAGAUCUGGAGGAAUACCGAUGGCGAAGGCAGCCAUCUGGCCUAAUACUGACGCUGAGGUACGAAAGCAUGGGGAGCAAACAGGAUUAGAUACCCGCGUAGUCCCUGUCUCUUAUAC